rnacentral:rRNA from 1 species
CCGUAGUAAUUCUAGAGCUAAUACAUGCCUGAACGCCCAACUCACGGAGGGCGGUAUUUAUUGGAUAAAAAACCAAUGCACUUCUUCGGUCGUGCCUUGAGAUGAUUCAUAAUAACUUGUCGGAUCGUAUGGCCUUGUGCCGGCGACCGCUCAUUCAAAUUUCUGCCCUAUCAACUUUCGAUGGUAGAGUAUUGGUCUACCAUGGUGUCGACGGGUGACGGGGAAUUAGGGUUCGAUUCCGGAGAGGGAGCCUGAGAAACGGCUACCACAUCCAAGGAAGGCAGCAGGCGCGCAAAUUACCCAAUCCGAACUCGGG